GAUUAUGGCUCAGGACGAACGCUGGCGGCGUGCUUAACACAUGCAAGUCGAACGGGAGUAUUGAAGAAGCUUGCUUAGAGAUACUUAGUGGCGGACGGGUGAGUAACGCGUGAGGAGCUGUCCUAUGCAGGGGGACAACAGCUGGAAACGGCUGCUAAUACCCCAUAAGCCGAGAGGUAAAAGGAUCAAUCCGGCAGAGGAGGUACUCGCGUCCUAUCAGCUAGUAGGUGAGGUAACGGCUCACCUAGGCGAAGACGGGUAGCCGGCCUGAGAGGGCGAACGGCCACACUGGAACUGAGAUACGGUCCAGACUCCUACGGGAGGCAGCAGUGGGGAAUAUUGGGCAAUGGGGGAAACCCUGAACCCCCAGCGACGCCGCGUGGGUGAAGAAAUCCUUCGGGAUGUAAAGCCCUGUUGUAUGGGAAGAGCGGAAGACGGUACCAUACGAGGAAGCCCCGGCAAACUACGUGCCAGCAGCAGC
rnacentral:rRNA from 1 species